AACGUAGGAGGCAAGCGUUAUCCGGAAUUACUGGGCGUAAAGCGCACGUAGGCGGCUUUGUAAGUUAGAGGUGAAAGCCUGGAGCUCAACUCCAGAAUUGCCUUUAAGACUGCAUCGCUUGAAUCCGGGAGAGGUGAGUGGAAUUCCGAGUGUAGAGGUGAAAUUCGUAGAUAUUCGGAAGAACACCAGUGGCGAAGGCGGCUCACUGGACCGGCAUUGACGCUGAGGUGCGAAAGCGUGGGGAGCAAACAGG
rnacentral:rRNA from 1 species